rnacentral:rRNA from 1 species
CCCUUAGAUGUUCUGGGCCGCACGCGCGCUACACUGAUGCAUUCAACAAGCCUAGCCUUGACCGAGAGGUCCGGGUAAUCUUUGAAACUGCAUCGUGAUGGGGCUAGAUUAUUGCAAUUAUUAAUCUUCAACGAGGAAUGCCUAGUAAGCGUGAUUCAUCAAAUCGCGUUGAUUACGUCCCUGCCCUUUGUACACACCGCCCGUCGCUCCUACCGAUUGAAUGUGUUGGUGAGGAGCUCGGAUUGGCAGCAGUUGGUGGUUCGCCACCGGCUAUUGCUGAGAAGUCCUCCAAACCGCCCCAUUUAGAGGAAGGAGUAGUCGUAACA